rnacentral:rRNA from 1 species
GACGAACGCUGGCGGCGUGCUUAACACAUGCAAGUCGAACGGAAAGGCCCUGCUUUUGUGGGGUGCUCGAGUGGCGAACGGGUGAGUAACACGUGAGUAACCUGCCCUUGACUUUGGGAUAACUUCAGGAAACUGGGGCUAAUACCGGAUAGGAGCUCCUGCUGCAUGGUGGGGGUUGGAAAGUUUCGGCGGUUGGGGAUGGACUCGCGGCUUAUCAGCUUGUUGGUGGGGUAGUGGCUUACCAAGGCUUUGACGGGUAGCCGGCCUGAGAGGGUGAACGGCCACAUUGGGACUGAGAUACGGCCCAGACUCCUACGGGAGGCAGCAGUGGUGAAUAUUGCACAAUGGGCGGAAGCCUGAUGCAGCAACGCCGCGUGCGGGAUGACGGCCUUCGGGUUGUAAACCGCUUUCGCCUGUGACGAAGCGUGAGUGACGGUAAUGGGUAAAGAAGCACCGGCUAACUACGUG